rnacentral:tRNA from 1 species
GCUGGUAUUGUAUAUCGGUUAAUACUCUAGCCUUCUAAGCUGGAAAGGUGGGUUUACUUCCCACUAUUUGCUCCA